ACGAACGCUGGCGGCGUGCUUAACACAUGCAAGUCGAACGGAAAGGCCCUGCUUUUGUGGGGUGCUCGAGUGGCGAACGGGUGAGUAACACGUGAGUAACCUGCCCUUGACUUUGGGAUAACUUCAGGAAACUGGGGCUAAUACCGGAUAGGAGCUCCUGCUGCAUGGUGGGGGUUGGAAAGUUUCGGCGGUUGGGGAUGGACUCGCGGCUUAUCAGCUUGUUGGUGGGGUAGUGGCUUACCAAGGCUUUGACGGGUAGCCGGCCUGAGAGGGUGACCGGCCACAUUGGGACUGAGAUACGGCCCAGACUCCUACGGGAGGCAGCAGUGGGGAAUAUUGCACAAUGGGCGGAAGCCUGAUGCAGCAACGCCGCGUGCGGGAUGACGGCCUUCGGGUUGUAAACCGCUUUCGCCUGUGACGAAGCGUGAGUGACGGUAAUGGGUAUAGAAGCACCGGCUAACUACGUG
rnacentral:rRNA from 1 species